UACAGAGGUCUCAAGCGUUGUUCGGAUUCAUUGGGCGUAAAGGGUGCGUAGGCGGCGCGGUAAGUCCGUGGUGAAAUCUCUGAGCUUAACUCGGAAACUGCCGUGGAUACUAUUAGUCUUGAAUCUCGUGGAGGUAAGCGGAAUAUGUCAUGUAGCGGUGAAAUGCUUAGAUAUGACAUAGAACACCGAUAGCGAAGGCAGCUUGCUACACGAGUAUUGACACUGAGGCACGAAAGCGUGGGGAUCAAACAGG
rnacentral:rRNA from 1 species